AGUGCGGUGGCCGAGCGGUUAAGGCGUUGGACUUAAGUUCCAAUGGACUGUUAGUCCUCGUGGGUUCAAAUCCCACCUGCACUA
rnacentral:tRNA from 1 species